rfam:Drosophila mojavensis strain TSC#15081-1352.22 Ctg01_10131, whole genome shotgun sequence.
AUCGCUGGCGCUGUCAGCCGUGCCUGGUGGCGUUGGCAGCACAAGUAUGUGUUCCCGAAGCGUGCUGGCAUUGCACCCUUCUUCCAGUUGACCGUCGCCAGCAUGGCGUUCUUCUAUAUCAUCAACUACCCCAAGUUGAAGCACCACAGGAACUACAA